rnacentral:rRNA from 1 species
GACGAACGCUUGCGGCGUGCUUAACACAUGCAAGUCGAACGGAAAGGCCCUGCUUUUGUGGGGUGCUCGAGUGGCGAACGGGUGAGUAACACGUGAGUAACCUGCCCUUGACUUUGGGAUAACUUCAGGAAACUGGGGCUAAUACUGGAUAGGAGCUCCUGCUGCAUGGUGGGGGUUGGAAAGUUUCGGCGGUUGGGGAUGGACUCGCGGCUUAUCAGCUUGUUGGUGGGGUAGUGGCUUACCAAGGCUUUGACGGGUAGCCGGCCUGAGAGGGUGACCGGCCACAUUGGGACUGAGAUACGGCCCAGACUCCUACGGGAGGCAGCAGUGGGGAAUAUUGCACAAUGGGCGGAAGCCUGAUGCAGCAACGCCGCGUGCGGGAUGACGGCCUUCGGGUUGUAAACCGCUUUCGCCUGUGACGAAGCGUGAGUGACGGUAAUGGGUAAAGAAGCACCGGCUAACUACGUGCCAGCAGCCGCGGUGAUACGUAGGGUGCGAGCGUUGUCCGGAUUUAUUGGGCGUAAAGGGCUCGUAGGUGGUUGAUCGCGUCGGAAGUGUAAUCUUGGGGCUUAACCCUGAGCGUGCUUUCGAUACGGGUUGACUUGAGGAAGGUAGGGGAGAAUGGAAUUCCUGGUGGAGCGGUGGAAUGCGCAGAUAUCAGGAGGAACACCAGUGGCGAAGGCGGUUCUCUGGGCCUUUCCUGACGCUGAGGAGCGAAAGCGUGGGGAGCGAACAGGCUUAGAUACCCUGGUAGUCCACGCUGUAAACGGUGGGUACUAGGUGUGGGGUCCAUUCCACGGGUUCCGUGCCGUAGCUAACGCUUUAAGUACCCCGCCUGGGGAGUACGGCCGCAAGGCUAAAACUCAAAGGAAUUGACGGGGCCCCGCACAAGCGGCGGAGCAUGCGGAUUAAUUCGAUGCAACGCGUAGAACCUUACCUGGGUUUGACAUGGAUCGGGAGUGCUCAGAGAUGGGUGUGCCUCUUUUGGGGUCGGUUCACAGGUGGUGCAUGGCUGUCGUCAGCUCGUGUCGUGAGAUGUUGGGUUAAGUCCCGCAACGAGCGCAACCCUUGUUCACUGUUGCCAGCACGUUAUGGUGGGGACUCAGUGGAGACCGCCGGGGUCAACUCGGAGGAAGGUGGGGAUGACGUCAAGUCAUCAUGCCCCUUAUGUCCAGGGCUUCACGCAUGCUACAAUGGCUGGUACAGAGAGUGGCGAGCCUGUGAGGGUGAGCGAAUCUCGGAAAGCCGGUCUCAGUUCGGAUUGGGGUCUGCAACUCGACCUCAUGAAGUCGGAGUCGCUAGUAAUCGCAGAUCAGCAACGCUGCGGUGAAUACGUUCCCGGG